GUUCCGCUGGAUUUAUACUUUAUUGAAGCAUCACUGGAAACAUUAAGAUGAGAUUCGAUGGUGACUGCACCAAGAUCUUCGGAUGAAGAAGAGUACUUAACCGAUAGCUUAAAAUCAUCAGGAGAAGGAAUUGAAGACUUGCCAGAUGAUUUUCCUGGCUGCCGAUUCGAAUUCAAGAGCAAAAAUAGAAAAUCCCGUUUCAAUUUCUUUUCCAAAGGAGAGAUCACAGAAAGUUGUGUCCGUGGAGCUUCGUCAGCCUCUUCUGUAGGCUUAUUUAUGCUGUCAUCUUCUUCCAGUUCAGCAUCCAAGUCUUCUACAACAAUUGUGUACUCAUUUUUGUAGUAAGCUACACGCUUGCAGGUUGGCAUUUCAAUAUCAGAAUCUGCACCGACUGUUAAUAUAUUGACAUGGAAUAAAGGAUAUUGUAAGAGAAUUCGCUUUC